rnacentral:rRNA from 1 species
CGUUGUUCGGAAUUAUUGGGCGUAAAGAGCGUGUAGGCGGUUUGUUWAGUCNGWUGUGAAAGCCCUGGGCUCAACCCAGGAAGUGCAYUGGAUACUGNCAGACUUGAAUACGGGAGAGGGUAGUGGAAUUCCUAGUGUAGGAGUGAAAUCCGUAGAUAUUAGGAGGAACACCGGUGGCGAAGGCGGCUACCUGGACCGAUAUUGACGCUGAGACGCGAAAGCGUGGGUAGCAAACAGGAUUAGAUACCCUGGUAGUCCACGCCGUAAACGAUGAGWACUAGGUGUUGCGGGUAUUGACCCCUGCAGUGCCGCAGCUAACGCAUUAAGUUCUCCGCCUGGGAAGUACGGUCGCAAGACUAAAACUCAAAGGA